rnacentral:rRNA from 1 species
UACGUAGGAGGCGAGCGUUGUCCGGAAUUAUUGGGCGUAAAGGGCGCGUAGGCGGCCACGCACGUCCGUUGUGAAAUCGCCCGGCUCAACUGGGCGGGGUCAGCGGAUACGGUGUGGCUCGAGCAAGCUAGGGGGCAAUGGAAUUCCCGGUGUAGUGGUGGAAUGCGUAGAUAUCGGGAGGAACACCAGUGGCGAAGGCGGUUGCCUGGAGCUUUGCUGACGCUGAUGCGCGAAAGCGUGGGGAGCGAUCCGG